rnacentral:tRNA from 1 species
UCCCCGGUAGCUCAAUUGGCAGAGCAUCCGGCUGUUAACCGGAGGGUUGUAGGUUCGAGUCCUACCCGGGGAG